rnacentral:rRNA from 1 species
GACAGAGGUGCCAAGCGUUAGGCGGAAUCACUGGGCUUAAAGCGUGUGUAGGCGGAUCGUUAAGUACCUUGUGAAAUCCCACGGCUCAACCGUGGAACUGCUCGGUAUACUGGCGGUCUUGAGCCACCUAGGGGCAACUGGAACAAGCGGUGGAGCGGUGAAAUGCGUAGAUAUUGGGAGGAACACCAGUGGCGAAGGCGGCUCACUGGACCGGUACUGACGCUGAGGCGCGAAAGCGUGGGGAGCAAACAGG